GAUGAACGCUGGCGGCGUGCCUAAUACAUGCAAGUCGAGCGAACAGACGAGGAGCUUGCUCCUCUGACGUUAGCGGCGGACGGGUGAGUAACACGUGGAUAACCUACCUAUAAGACUGGGAUAACUUCGGGAAACCGGAGCUAAUACCGGAUAAUAUAUUGAACCGCAUGGUUCAAUAGUGAAAGACGGUUUUGCUGUCACUUAUAGAUGGUUCCGCGCCGCAUUAGCUAGUUGGUAAGGUAACGGCUUACCAAGGCAACGAUGCGUAGCCGACCUGAGAGGGUGAUCGGCCACACUGGAACUGAGAUACGGUCCAGACUCCUACGGGAGGCAGCAGUAGGUAAUCUUCCGCAAUGGGCGAAAGCCUGACGGAGCAACGCCGCGUGAGUGAUGAAGGUCUUCGGAUCGUAAAACUCUGUUAUUAGGGAAGAACAAAUGUGUAAGUAACUAUGCACGUCUUGACGGUACCUAAUCAGAAAGCCACGGCUAACUACGUG
rnacentral:rRNA from 1 species